GGCAACACUGAUAGGAGAAUUUUACAUAGUAAGGGUUACAAUCCCUAACCGUGGCCGAAGGCCGCCUACGCAGAAAGAAGUUCUGCGCAAAAAUAAUUCCGCCCCUCUUUUCCGGCAACGCAGA